rnacentral:rRNA from 1 species
UCGGCUUAGAGUUUGAUCCUGGCUCAGAACGAACGCUGGCGGCAUGCCUAAUGCAUGCAAGUCGAACGAAGGCUUCGGCCUUAGUGGCGCACGGGUGCGUAACGCGUGGGAAUCUACCCUUGGGUUCGGAAUAACAGUGGGAAACUACUGCUAAUACCGGAUGAUGACGUAAGUCCAAAGAUUUAUCGCCCAAGGAUGAGCCCGCGUAGGAUUAGCUUGUUGGUGAGGUAAAAGCUCACCAAGGCGACGAUCCUUAGCUGGUCUGAGAGGAUGAUCAGCCACACUGGGACUGAGACACGGCCCAGACUCCUACGGGAGGCAGCAGUAGGGAAUAUUGGACAAUGGGCGAAAGCCUGAUCCAGCAAUGCCGCAGUGAGUGAUGAAGGCCUUAGGGUUGUAAAGCUCUUUUACCCGGGAUGCAUAAUG